CCUACGGGUGGCAGCAGUGAGGAAUAUUGGUCAAUGGGCGGGAGCCUGAACCAGCCAAGUCGCGUGAGGGACGACGGUCCUAUGGAUUGUAAACCUCUUUUGUCGGGGAACAAAGGCGCCCACGGGUGGGCGGAUGAGUGUACCCGAAGAAAAAGCAUCGGCUAACUCAGGGCCAGCAUCCGCGGUAAGACGGAGGAGGAGAGCGUGAUCCGGAUUUAGUGGGUUUAAAGGGUGCGUAGGCGGACAGUCAAGUCAGCGGUAAAAAUGAGGUGCUCAACGCCGUACAGCCGUUGAAACUGGCAGUCUUGAGUGGGCGAGAGGUAUGCGGAAUGCGUGGUGUAGCGGUGAAAUGCAUAGAUAUCACGAAGAACUCCGAUUGCGAAGGCAGCAUGCCGGCGCCCGACUGACGCUGAGGCACGAAAGCGUGGGUAUCGAACAGGAUUAGAUACCCCGGUAGUC
rnacentral:rRNA from 1 species